GAAAACAUUUCUGUACACUCACAAUGUCUGUUUUGAGGUAGAAGAAAUGUAUUGUGAUAUCUUAGAAAUUAGAUAAAACUUAAAAGUUACAUUUAAAUUUAAUUAUUUUAGUAUAUUCCUAGACUGUGUAAAUUUAUCAUUGAUGAGAUGACCAAGUACAAUUUUUUUUUUUUUUUUGGUUUUUCGAGACAGGGUUUCUCUGUGUAGCUUUGGAGCCUAUCCUGGCACUAGCUCUGGAGACCAGUCUGGCCUCAAACUCACAGAGAUCUGCUUGCCUCUGCCUCCCGAGUGCUGGGAUUAAAGGUGUGUGCCUACAAUUUUUAUGCAAAGAAAAAUUCAACUUUGCUAAAAUUCAAGUGUAUUAGAUUAUGAAAUUCAAAUGUGAGGCAAAUUGAUGGAUUUGUGGUAUCAUCUUUAUCUCCCUUUUUAGCAUUGUAUUAUGACCUACAAAACAAAUGCUUCAGCUCAAGAGUGUUCUUUUGAGGGCUUGGACACAGGACAAUGGAAAUGUGAACAGCUGCCAGUAUAGUUGUGUUUGGCUGUCCAAGCUCUAUUGUAAGGAGAGACAAAAAGUUGGACACAUGAUAAAGCAGGGCAGUGGCCUUUUAGUUACUGAAUGGUGAGGAGUAUCUGGGACAUUGGUGACUGGUGACAUAUGGGAAGAGUUUCAAGACAAAGACGUUUUAUCAGUAUGUUCAAAAGUACACUGUUGGAGUAUUUUCUGAGUGUUUAUUUCUUUCUCUGGGUUUGGAGGAUUUCUACUCUAUGUUCUUGUGUCGUUAUAAAUCGCUCUCAUUCUCUUUGAAUUUUUUCUAACAACCACAAGUUUAAUUGGAAACAGAAUGAUGACCAGUUCCAGUUUGCGUCUGAAAAGAUGGAAGGAAGGGGAAAGAAGAAAAACAAAAGGGAACUUGAUGAGGACUUCUGUGUUGUGUUCUCUUGCUAUCAAGGAAAAAUAUUAAGAUCACCUAACGAAAGUCAAACACUGGGGAGGUGAAGAGAACAAGAUGCAUGGAAAUCCUUUGUCCUGGGUACAAACAGACAAAACCAAACACAUUAAUAACAUAAAUGAAAGGGCCUAUAAUAAGAACUCAGAGGGGAAAGAUAAAAAAAAGGAAAGUGAGAUAGAAAGUCACAAAAGUAACUUUUGUGUUCGGGGGUGGGGGUGGGAUUGAUGCUGAGAAGUCUAACUUGGGUCUAAACUGAACAGCUAGUCAAGGGUACAGAAGACAUGCAGACCAUGGACUGAAACUCCAGAGACCAUCGGAGGGAGAACUACUGAAGAGGAAAGAGACCAGACAAGGGGUAUUGUAACCAUCCAGACAAGAGCUGUUAGUACCCAGAUUAAAGCAGUGGCCGCAGGGUCAGAGCAGCACCUGAAGUCAAGAUGCACUUUGGAGAUGGG
rnacentral:lncRNA from 1 species